AGGUCUUAUUUUAAAUGUCCCCAAGGCAACCACCACCAACCACUGACUUCUCAGACUAUCAGAAAUAUAGCUACCUGUACCAUCUAUUCAUCGCACUGAUCACAUUUAUUACGUCAUUUGAACCUCCCACCAAGUACGUAAGUGACCAAUGGAGCACCCCGAGACCCCUGGGUGCAGCAUGGAGGCGUGGGUACACGUUUUACCAUGAAGAGAAUUAGCUAUAGGAAGGCAAAGUCCAGACUGUACUGCUGGAUCAGAUGCCAGAGGAGGUAGCUGGCAUUGAGGAUUAAGUGGGGGAAGAAUGUUGGAGCACAGAAUUGAUGCUGUGAGGAUGAGAGGCUCGGAGCAGCCAUAGCCACAAAGAGGAAGAUCCAGGAGCUACUUGCAACCACACAAGUGGAAGCAGUGCCUAGAU